rnacentral:tRNA from 1 species
GAGAAUAUAGCCUAAAUUUAAGGUUUUGGGUUGAAGGUCCAAGGAUGAUCUUUUGAUCUGUUCUCA